rnacentral:rRNA from 1 species
GUAGGGAAUAUUGCGCAAUGGGGGAAACCCUGACGCAGCGACGCCGCGUGAGUGAUGAAGGCCUUCGGGUCGUAAAGCUCUGUUGCAGGGGAAUAAAAAAAUGAAGGUACCCUGUGAGGAAGGAUCGGCUAACUUCGUGCCAGCAGCCGCGGUAAGACGAGGGAUCCUAGCGUUGCUCGGAAUCAUUGGGCGUAAAGAGGGCGUAGGUGGCUUGGUAAGUCAGGUGUGAAAGCCCAGGGCUCAACCCUGGAAGUGCAUUUGAUACUGCUGAGCUUGAGUGUCGGAGAGGUUACCGGAAUACCUGGUGUAGUGGUGAAAUACGUAGAUAUCAGGUGGAACACCGGAGGCGAAGGCGGGUAACUGGACGAACACUGACACUGAGGCCCGAAAGCGUGGGGAUCAAACAGGAUUAGAAACCCCGGUAGUCC